GUUUUUGCAAACUCAAUUUCUACUAGAGGAAAGUCCAACUAUGUACUAUUACCGGCCAGAGCGAGUUGGAAUCAUGCUCAGGUGUUAUGUUUUGAUAUUGGGGGCACUUUAGCAGAAAUUGAAACUGAAGAGGAAUACGUGUUCUUAAACUACACUCUGCGUGAAGUUGAAACACUUGAAGAUAACUUAUGGAUUGGAGGUACGGAUAACGAAACAGAAGGUGUUUGGAAAUGGGCUUCUAGAAGUACACCUAUAAAGUUUACGUUUUGGAAGCCCGAUGAACCGAACAAUUUUCAUGAUAAUGAACACUGUCUGGAACUAACACUAAAAAGUGGAUGGUUAUGGAAUGAUAACUAUUGUGGAAAGAA